rnacentral:sRNA from 15 species
UUCUUUAUAUAUAUAUCAGAUUGGAACUGCAUUCGGAGAGCGGAAAUAACAAACCAGAACUAAUAUUUAUGGACCAAGUGGAGGACAUUUCAUCUGAGUUUAUUUUACACAAAAACGAAAAUUGCAUUCAAAUACGCAUAAAUGAUGGUAGUCGAGAUGGAUGAAAUCGGAUUAAAGGAAUGGGCGUCAUCUUUGAGAUCAGCACACAAAAUGUCGCAAGAUCUCUUAGGAUCAAUGGCUAAAAAAGCAGGAAAAAUUUAUGGUAGUGAACGAGAUGCCAACAAAUCUAUAUAUAUUCUAGGGGGUAAUUGUUCAACGAAAUCGUCUAAUGGGUCUAAUUAAUUCUAUAAUAACUUAUGUACAACCAAAUUCCUGCUAUGUAAAACGAUGUAGAGGUAUACAAAAUGGAAAUACAUUUGAAAAGAUUCCUAAUAAAUCCACCUCAUCUUUAAA